CUUUUAUACCUAGCGAAUUGAAUCAUCUUAGUAGCUAGGUGGUCAAAUCAAACGAGAAUCCGCGAGUAGUGGCGAACGAAACCGGAUCUUUGGCUGAGAACAUACUAUAUAUAGCAUCGAAUUUUAAACGUUUCCAUGAAACAAGCCGUAGAAGGAGUUUCCUGUAUUCAGCCCUGUAGGUGUUAUUUAUGUUUUUCCUCUCUAGUAUAAGCAAUAAUAAUUUGCUAGAACAGUGGGGCACCAUCCUCAAAGCCUAAAAUUUUUAGUGAUUGAUAGUGAAAAGUACUGUGAAGGAAAAGAAAGAUCUUGAAAAAUUAGUUUUAAACUGUGUGCCUACAAUCAGUUGGAGUUUAUAAAAAAUUACAGCGUACCUUUUGUAUAAUGGAUCAACAAGUUUAUUGCGGAAGCAAGCUUAAAACAAAUGUAGGCUUAAAGAAAUUGAGUUCGAACAAAUCUUCUCAGUUUCCGCGUUAAGACCCGAAACUAAGUGAUCUAACCACGGGCAGGUUGAAUUUAUAGUGGAAAACACUUAUUGGAGGACCAAACCCGUGUCUGUUGAAAAAUACUGGGAUGACCUGUGGUUAGUGGUGAAAGGCCAAUCAAACUUAGAGAUAGCUGGUUUUCUGCGAAAUCUAUUUUAGUAGAGCGUUUAGAAACUUUGUUUCGGGGUAGAGCACUGAAUAAACGAUGGGGACGUAAAGUUUUACUGAAUUUACUCAAACUCCGAAUACGAAAUCAAAUGAAUCUAAGCAGACAGACUAAAGAUGCUAAGAUCUUUGGUCAAGAGGGAAACAGCCCAGAUUAUACGUUAAGGUCUUUAAAUAUAGUUAAGUGAGAAAAUGUAGAAAAUCGAAAAUUAUCAGCAAGUAGGCUUGGAAGCAGCCAUCUUUUAAUGAAAGCGUAACAGCUCACUGAUUUAGAUUUUCCGUGUUGAAAAUGUAUCUAGACUCAAACUAUAUACCGAAACGAUAAAUUUUAACUAAAGUUAAAAUGGUAGCAGAACGUUCUGUAAGUCAAACAAAAAUUAUAGUAAUAUAAUUUAGAGAUAUCAGAAGCGAGAAUGUUGAUACGAGUAGCGAGAAACAAGGUAAAAACCUUGUCGUCUUAAGUUUAAAGGUUUCAAGGAAAGGCUAUCCCUCCUUGGUAAAGUAAAACGGACCCUAAGAAAUUUCGAAAGACCCAUUUUAAUGGGAUAUAUUAUAAGAAAUUCUUAAAGAAUUAAAGCAUCUUUUUGGUGACAAAAGUUUAUAAUAAUGGUAACAUUUUUGUUUUGGUAAAAUACCCAUUAUUUUGUCUUUUCAAGAAACAGCCUAAGAUGACUAAACCGUACUGCAAACCGACACAGGUAAACUAAUAGAGUAUAUUAAGACGCUUGAGUCAAUUGUGUUGAAGGAACUCGGCAAAAUCGCCCCGUAACUUCGGGAGAAGGGGUAACCUAAGGUUGACACUUAAUCGGGGACAGCGACUGUUUAAUAAAAACACAGGUCUCUGCAAAUUUUAGAAAAGAAGUAUAGAGACUGACGCCUGCCCAGUGCUGCAAGGUUAAAGUAAUAAGUUUUGGCUUAGAACUGAAAUCCCAGUAAACGGCGGCUGUAACUCUGACGGUCCUAAGGUAGCGAAAUUCCUUGGCAUUUAAUUGGUGUCCUGCAUGAAUGGCGUAACGACUGUCCCACUGUCUCCAAUGCAAUCUCAGUGAAACUGAAAUCUCCGUGAAGAUGCGGAGUACUCGUGGCUAGACGGAAAGACCCCGUGCACCUUUACUAUAGUUAUAACUUGCAAUUUCAAAUUUUUUGUAUAGCAUAAGUGGUAAAACAUUGUUUUACGUCAGUAAAUAAAACAAAAUUGCCCCCUGAAAUACCACUCUAAAAAUUUGUUGUUGCUAAAUAUUUAAAGUUUAUAACGGGUAGUUUGACUGGGGCGGUCGCCUCCCAAAUAGUAACGGAGGCGUACAAAGGU
rnacentral:rRNA from 1 species